rnacentral:rRNA from 1 species
UACGGAGGGUGCAAGCGUUAUCCGGAUUCACUGGGUUUAAAGGGUGCGUAGGCGGGCAGGUAAGUCAGUGGUGAAAUCCUGGGGCUUAACCCCAGAACUGCCGUUGAUACUAUCUGUCUUGAAUAUUGUGGAGGUGAGCGGAAUAUGUCAUGUAGCGGUGAAAUGCUUAGAGAUGACAUAGAACACCAAUUGCGAAGGCAGCUCACUACACAAACAUUGACGCUGAGGCACGAAAGCGUGGGGAUCAAACAGG